rnacentral:lncRNA from 1 species
AACUUCUGGGUCUGCUAUACUGUCCCCUCAAAGGACUAACUCUGACCCAUCCGAGCCUCUAAACUCUGAACUCUCCUACCUUGUCUUUGCAGACUGAGGUAGUACCUCGAGUAGCUAGCCAAUCCGCCCUAGAUUGACAUCACUAGUCAACUCUAGAACCAUAAGGUCAGCUGGAUUGCAUCCACUACUCGCACCAAACUCUGACCUGAAUCAACAGACUGACUCUGCCACAGAUGGAUCACACUCGGGUCUAUCAACCCAAAGAAACUGUCUAAGCCCAGAAGUUAUCAACCCCUCUCUAUCUACGGCUCUCAAGACAACAGGGAAAGAAACAUCAGGGUCCACGAUAACCUACACAUCUGAACACUCACGUGAACGUAUCUGACGUCACCGUGUUCGAUGUGUUAGCCUCCUACUGAGUCAGGAUGAAGAUCCAAACUAAAGCUACUGAAUCUUCCCUCGGGAACCGACCAAAGAAAAGGAGAACUCUCUUCUCCUGCCUCACCCACUGUCCUGAAAUAUGGCUAGAGCUAUAGGCUGAGUGACACUACUAGAAGUCAUCUGCUGGGACUGUGCCAAUCAGGGCCGCAGUAGGACAUUCACAUGAUAUGAGUCCUUUUUGCUCGCAUUUAUACAUGCCGUAGUCCCAUACCAUCAGACUACUUUUGUGUAACCUCCACGCCUCACGGAUCCAGAACUAUCUGAACUAGAGCUCAAUCGCCAUCUAAUCCCAGACUAAACUGAAAUCUCUUUCUAACCUUUCUUACUUUACAUUUAUUCUAUUCUGU